rnacentral:rRNA from 1 species
GUGACCCCAGGUCAGGCGGGGACACCCG